rnacentral:tmRNA from 1 species
GGGGAUGUUUUGGUUUUGACAGCAAUGAUGUCGAGAUGUAAGCAUGCCGGGCGUGGGAGGUUUGCCCGUUAAUCUCAGCUUCCGAACUUUUAGUAGGCAACUACUCUUACUCAUACGCUUGCUAGUCUCCAAAGGAGAACGCAUUAAUCCGCGGGACCAAGGCUGUUCCGCCGACGUAUGUCCCUCCGUUCUUUAAGCCGGUUCAGAACGGGCCAAGGGGCAUCAUCAAAACCGGACGCACGGAACUAUUCCCCUAACGUUCCGCCAAGAUUCAGGGGAUAAGCCUGCGGUGGCCUGCCUUCCGGCAGCCUCAGGCCGACAACCAAAGAAAGGAUAAGCAUGUAGAAAGCCUCCCGGUGCGUUGUUUGGACGGCGGUUCGAGUCCGCCCAUCUCCACAA